ACGCUUGAGGUCUGCAGACCAAUAUAGCAGCAUCAGAUUGGGUAUAUUUGGACUUAUCGUCUGGUUGACGCAUAUAAUUAUAGUAGUAGUUGUCGCUUGUAUAUCUUCAGUUCUUUCGUUACAUUGUCUUGCUACUAUAGUCUUGUUACAUGUAUACAUUCAGUUGUUCAUUACAGUAGCGGUAGUUGUACUUUUUUUCAUAUAUAUGUCUCUUUCAUUCAUUAUUAUUGCUACUGUAUUUUCUACUGACCCGUACUGUUGUUUAGCUCUUCCUGAUCCGGUGAGUACUCAUCGCCUUCAUCGGCUUGCGGUACCCACUGGGAUGGGAGACAUGUUUACGUGUUCUCACCUCCCCCACUAUUUUUCAGGUAUCGCGGGCGAUGAGGGUUGAGACGAGACAUGAGAUACGUACGUAGCAGUCGAUAGAGCUUUCGACCCAGGUUAUUCGGUUUAGUUUCUACCCUUACUAUCCUGUUGAUAUAGCUUAGAUAGUUCAUAUGGUUCAGUUUUUGGGUAUUUUAGUUAACUAUCAUAUUUUGAUUUGGUUUUAUGAAUGUAAUAAAAAGGAUUCGUGGUUUCCGUAAAUAAAAGGUUUUCUACCCCUCGUGGUAACGUUUUUAAAGAAUAAAGAUUUCCGUGUAGGAAACAGUUUUUAAAGGAUUUUCUGUGGAUUUAUGUUUAAAUAUUGAAUGUAUAACUGUGAUGUGAAUGGUGAAUGAAUGAUUGUAUAGUCGUUUCUAUAUUCAUUUGGUUGUGAUUGUAUCUGGGUUACUUCUUGUACUUGUGCGACGCCGUACAAAUACAGGGGAGACUCUGUCCGUGUGAACAAUGGAUUUUCUGUAUUUGUGGCAGAUCUGGCAUUCCCUGGGGUUAGGUUUUCAAAAAAAAAAAAAAAAAAAAAAAAUUCGCAGUGUUUUUAACCUAAAGGGACCCCGGGGAGUGACACGAAACUUGACGAGGGCUUUUGUAAUUAAAUUACACACAAAAAUAUCGUCAACUGAGAAUUUAGCUACACUGCAAAAGUCUAAGUCCUUACACAU
rnacentral:lncRNA from 1 species